GUGAACCCAGCUGAAUACAGUCAAAAUCAGCAUGUAAUAGCUUAAAGGUAAAAUAAAAUGUUGUUAGCUGUGGUUUAUUAAUUAUUGUGCGCAAAUGAUCUGCAAAACAACAGCGAUUAUACUUCAAAAACAAUCAAUAACUCAGAAGUACUUUCAGAUGUCAACACGGGGGAAGUAUGUUACAGUUCACGCAGAGUCCAAGUUGCUGUGGCAAGAUGUGAUAUAAGGGCCAGUUCCCAGCCUGAAGACAUGAAAAUGGAUGCACUGUGCAUGUGCAGCUCCUUUCCCGGCCAGCGCAUACAUAGGAAGCCCAAGGCACGCUAGGAGCUGUAGUACCUGAACUCUGAACUCCCGAUUUAAGUAAAGUAUUUUUGGGUUUCAUAACAUUUGGCUAACAACUGCACCAUCAAUCGGUUCUUAGUGUUGCUGUGGUCAGAUUAAAGCAAAACAAAGUACUUUUAAAGCUGGAACCAACAUUUUAUUAUUACUUUCCAUCUUCAAAUCCUAUGAUCUACACAUAAUAUUAUUCCAAUGAUUGUACCUCCAAGUAUUUUACUGUGAUAUGGAAUGUCAUUCAUUCUUUGGUAUCUAUAAUGCUUGAUUGACACACUAUUAUACAAAAAGAGAGGGGAUAGGAGCUAACUGAAUAGAUAAUUGUAAAAUAUGUUUUUGUCUUGGAAGUAAUAUAUUGUAAGUGAGUUCAGAAAGUCAUCUUCAUGGGUAAGCUUAACAUAUAUCCCACAGUUACCCACUGAGUAUUUUGUUUCAGUUCAAUAGCUUAUUUUGUUUGUUUUAAUGAGAGGGUGCUGUAAACAUGGAGGGCUAGUCAUAGUUAUGUGAGAUAUUUUUCAAUUCUUAUCCUAACUGUUUGGACUCCAUCCAUCUCAACGAUUCUCAAAAGAGAAAAUAACUGGUUGAAGCAUUCCACUCUGAAUUUUACAUGCUUGAGAGGUGGCACCAAGUGAUAACUUCAGAUUUUCAAAUUUUAAGCUUUUCACUACAGUUAGUAUUCAAAAGAAUCAUCUUAAAUUAAUCUCCAAUUUUAGCAGACAAAACUCCAGAACAUAUGUUUUCAAACUGGGACCUAUGGACCAGGAGAGUCAGUGAGGGUUCCCAAGGAGAUUGUGAGGCCUAUGGAUUUCUGACUGGAGCUGGGUAUUUCACAUCUGCUGAGCAGUUUCUGGAACAUUCUGUAUUUGUAUGGGAUUUUUCUGAGUUUGCUAACUUCUCCAGAAAUGUUGUUGUUGAUUUUUGAGUAGUUGGAAUUGUAUUUUGUAUACUGGGGAUGCCUGGAAAGGAGUUGCUAUUAGCAGAAGUUCCCUCAUACAGAAGUUUGAAAAGCAUUGCUCUAGUCUAGGCCAUUACUCUCCUUACAUUUCUUAUGGUGUUUUACUUCCUUUACCAUACUCACAUUUAUAAAAUGAAACUGAUUCCUUAUAUAUUAACUCAAAAAUAAAACUUGAAAAA